rnacentral:lncRNA from 1 species
CCACCCUGAGGCAUAUGGAGCUCCUGGGCCAGGCAUCAGAUUUGAGCCACAGCUGCAGCAAUACUGGAUCCUUUAACCCACUGUGCCAGGCCAGGGAUCGAACCUGAGUCCUGGUGCUGCAGAGAUGCCCCAUGAUCCUGUUGCACCACGACUCAAACUCCGACUCUAUGUGUUUAUACAAAAUGUCCAGGACAGGGAAAUCCACACAGACAGAAAGCCGGUUAGGGGUGGCCAGGGGCUGGCGGGGGAGGGCGCCGGGAGGAAAUGGCUGCGAGUUUCGUUGUGGGGCCAUGAAAAUGUCCCAGACCUGGACAGAGACGACGUGGAUGUCGAAGUGUCACUGAGCAGUGCACUUUAAAAUGGUGAAUGUUAUCUUUAUAAAAAGAAAGAAAACAGGGCAGUGCUAGAAAUCUCUUGUCGACACAUCACCAGCCAAAGCCUACAAUCUGAACCUCCAGAUCCACCACCAGCCUUAGGUCGACCCAUCUGGCGGCCUGUUUACCUAAAAGCAAGACAGACACCUGGGGUCUUUCUAACACCCCCCACCAACGUGCCCCUAGACUAAGGUGACCAAAGGUCCUGGAUUCCCGGGACAUACUGGACCCUCGCCCUCCCCGCCCCCCGCCUCUCACUUCACCCCCUCCUGAGGCUGCUGAUCUUUGACUGCAGUCCUUGCAGCCUUACUCAGAUGUCCCCAAACCCGGUCCACACGUGCUCUGUCCCCUCUGCCCCGUUUCCUUCUUUCCCUCCAGCUCUGCACAUUCCUCUCACCUCUCACUUCCCAGUUUGAGGAACACCUCCUCCAAGAAGCCACCUCCGGCCUUCCCAGGAGAGGACCGAUUCCUCCGGAACCUCUCUACACAGGGCAGAAAUCAAGGGUGCAGGGUCGGGAGCCAGGCAGCCUGUGGUCACAUCCAAGUUCCCCGGGGGCACACCUUUGGCGCCUCAGUUUUCCCAUCUGUAAAAUGGGCACACUGGCAGUUUCUUCCUCAUAAGGCUCUUGGGAGGAUUAGAUGGAUCCACGUGUGAAAACGACCCAGAGCCACGAGGGACAUGUAUGUCCUUGGCCCAUGUAUGCUGUCUUUAAUACGUGUUUCUCUGCUGGACUUGUCACGCACGGGGCAUCUGUCUUUUCUUGUCUCAUCAAGAACUAAGCUCAGGAGUUCCCUUCGUGGCUCAGCAGUUAACGAAUCCAACUAGGAUCCAUUAGGAUGCAGGUUCGAUCCCUGGUCUCGCUCAGUGGGCCAGGGAUUGAACCUGCAACCUCAUGGUUCCUAGUCAGAUUCAUUAACCACUGUGCCACGACAGGAACUCCAAAGAGCCUCAAUUUAGAAUCCGACAAAAAUAAAGUUAUUUUAAUCAGAAGAUGUUACUAACAAGAGAGCUCAGUAACAGACGGCCUCACGGUUUAGUCCAAGGUAACAUGAGGAUUCGGCCAGAGCGGUGCCAAAUGUGCUCCAGAAAUGGAAUCACUUAAGUGGGUCUGGAAUCCUUGGUUUGCUCCAGGAUUCCUUGGUUGGGGGGGGGGUAUUUCUCAACAGGGCACCCUGGGGUGUCACGGCCGAUCAAGAGGUGGGUGGAAAGGACCUGAAACAGGAAGUGUGGCGGCAACAGACACAAACAAGAUAACAUCAAAAGAAAAAAAGCCUCAGCCUCCAAACCUCAAGAUCGGUUCAUUUUUACUUUUCGACACAAGUCUCUGAGGCAGCUCGCUCUGCAGAAGGCACCCCUGGAUUUGGCCGACAUCCACUCCCAGUCCUGGCUGGGCUUUCGGAAAAGAGUGAGGAGGGGGCGCUUCCUGCUGCUGCAUCAUCCAUCCAAGAUCUGGACGCCUCGCUGCCACCGGUGCAAACUCAGUAGUACCUGUCACUCCACAGUCAUCACUGGUCCUUGGCGUGGCUCUAAAACCACUUGUCUUACACCAAUGGUGUGUCAUCCAUUCUCCAGAAACAACAAUCUGUCUUUCUCCACAGGUGUCAAGAAAAUUCAGAGGCUCUAGCGAGCUUGUACGCGCGCGAUGCCAGCAGCCGCUGCUGACAUGUGUGGACAGGAAGGGGUGACAGAGUUCCCACCUUUGCAGACACCUUACCCUCAGUGCUUGUUUAUAACUGCCAAGGGUGGAAGGGGGACUCUUGGUGGCUAAAGGACUUAAAGAAGUCUCAGGGGAUUUUUCCUUCCCACCUCCAUCCCUGUCAGGUGAAAUAAGCAACACAGGGUCCAAAAGCAGAGGACAAGGACAGAGAGGUAACGCCCGGCGCUGAGAAGUCUCCUUGAGCACUUGUACAAGACACACUGGCUGCACAGCCGACUCCCAUCAGGAACGGAGCUGGUAGGAAAGCGAGGCCGUGGCCACUGAGCUUAGAGAUGUUACAGGUGGGACGUCCCUGCCUGGCGCCCAAGACACCAUCACUUGUGGGCUUUUUGGAAAACCUGCGUGUGUCUCCUGAUACUUGCAAAAAUGAGCCAGCACCACUCGCCACUUGUCAGCAGGAAAGGCGUGAACCACGGCUUGGCUGCUGAAAACCCAACAAUGAUUCGGAGAAAAGAGAAAACACGGGAGCAGGUAGGGCACGGAGCGGAGCAGGGAACAAAAAAAGGCCAAAGAAAGACUGAUAGAAUUUUCAGGAAGGUCAAAUGUUUCAGAGCAGAAACUUUGGGGAGUUCCUGAUGUGGUACAAUGGGAUCAGCAGAUUGGUGUCUCUAGAGCGCUGGGUCGCAGGUUCAAUCCCUGGCCCAGCACAGUGGGUUAAGGAUGCUCAACUCCAUAUGCUGCUGGGUAGCCAAAAAUUUCAUUCAUUCAUUCAUUCAUUUAAAAAAAUGAUCAUGGAGUUCCCGUCGUGGCGCAGUGGUUAACGAAUCCGACUAGGAACCAUGAGGUUUCGGGUUCGAU